rnacentral:rRNA from 1 species
CCGGUUGAUCCUGCCAGAGGUUACUGCUAUCGAGGUUCGACUAAGCCAUGCGAGUCGAAUGUAGCAAUACAUGGCGAACUGCUCAGUAACACGUGGACAACCUGCCCUUAGGUUGGGUAUAAACCCGGGAAACUGGGUAUAAUACCCGAUAGGUCUCGAUUGCUGGAAUGCAUCGAGAUUUAAAGCUCCGGCGCCUAAGGAUGGGUCUGCGGCCUAUCAGGUAGUAGUGGGUGUAGCGUACCUACUAGCCUACGACGGGUACGGGUUGUGAGAGCAAGAGCCCGGAGAUGGAUUCUGAGACACGAAUCCAGGCCCUACGGGGUGCAGCAGGCGCGAAAACUUUACAAUGCUGGCAACAGCGAUAAGGGAACCUCGAGUGCCAGGUUACAAAUCUGGCUGUCGAGAUGCCUAAAAAGCAUUUCAUAGCAAGGGCCGGGCAAGACCGGUGCCAGCAGCCGCGGUAAUAC